CCUACGGGUGGCAGCAGUGGGGAAUAUUGCACAAUGGGGGAAACCCUGAUGCAGCGACGCCGCGUGAGUGAAGAAGUAAUUCGUUACGUAAAGCCCUAUCUGCAGGGGAGCACAUGAUGGUACCUGAGUACGAAGCCCCGGCUAAAUACGAGCCAGCAGCCUCGGUAAUACGUAGGGGGCAAGCGUUAUCCGGGUUUACUGGGGGUAAAGGGAGCGUAGACGGUGCGAUAAGUCUGGAGGGAAAUGCCGCAGCUUAACCGCGGAGCUGCUUUGGAAACUGGCGACCUAGAGUGGGGGAGGGGUAAGCGGAAUUCCUAGUGUAGCGGUGAAAUGCGUAGAUAUUAGGAGGAACACCGGUGGCGAAGGCGGCUUACUGGACCGAAACUGACGUUGAGGCUCGAAAGCGUGGGGAGCAAACAGGAUUAGAUACCCCUGUAGUC
rnacentral:rRNA from 1 species